rnacentral:rRNA from 1 species
GGAAGUAAAAGUCGUAACAAGGUUUCCGUAGGUGAACCUGCGGAAGGAUCAUUACAGUAGUCACCCGGGUUGCCGCAAGGCCUCUCGGGUAACCUACCACCCUUUGUUUAUUACACUUUGUUGCUUUGGCAGGCCUGCCUUCGGGCUGCUGGCUCCGGCCGGCGAGCGCUUGCCAGAGGAUCUAAACUCUGUUUGUCUAUACUGUCUGAGUACUAUAUAAUAGUUAAAACUUUCAACAACGGAUCUCUUGGUUCUGGCAUCGAUGAAGAACGCAGCGAAAUGCGAUAAGUAAUGUGAAUUGCAGAAUUCAGUGAAUCAUCGAAUCUUUGAACGCACAUUGCGCCCCCUGGUAUUCCGGGGGGCAUGCCUGUCCGAGCGUCAUUACAACCCUCAAGCUCUGCUUGGUGUUGGGCCCCGCCGCCCCGGCGGGCCCUAAAGUCAGUGGCGGUGGCCAUCCGGCUCCGAGCGUAGUAAUUCUUCUCGCUCUGGAGGUCCGGUUGUGUGCUUGCCAUCAACCCCCAAUUUUUUUCAGGUUGACCUCGGAUCAGGUAGGGAUACCCGCUGAACUUAAGCAUAUCAAUAAGCGGAGGA